rnacentral:lncRNA from 1 species
ACAUCAAUGUCAUUUCUGCUACUGAACACAUAAGUUAAUAUUUUCAACUAUAUCCUUCUGAUUUUACCUUCUUCUUUAGUAAGUGAAUUAUAUCUUUGCAAGAAAUUAGCAUAAGUGACAAAGGGAAGGUUUCAUUUCUCACACAUACUUUACCUUCUGUAUGCACUCUUCAGCUUGCUGAGGAGGGUGUCCAAGAUGGCGGCAGCGGGAGGUUUGAGGCUUAAAGCCCACCCCACUUAAAUUGUAUCUAAACAAAUAAAGGCAAGAAGCAUUAUGGCAGUAAGGUUGUGCAGAGGUGGAGAUCUCUCAGGACUAGUGCUGGCAGGGCUCUGCCUCCAUACUGGCCUUCUGAGAAAUGGAGAGGUUGUGCACAUUUGGCACUGAGGCCCAGCCGCAUCCAGCAAGGUUGGACCUGCCUCAGUGAGACUUGUGGUGGGAAGCAGACCUGGUGCUGGCUGCAAUCUGCAAUCAGAGGUCAAUUUUGUUUUCCUGUAUCGGCAAAACAGCCAGAUUAAACAAGUAAGGAACCCUCCCUUUGUUUGUGUUCAAUACCUAAUUUCCAGUGUUUCUCAAGAAAAACAGUGCUGCAGAUAAAGACAAACAAUCUGAGACAGCAUGACAAAGAACCAUGGAGUUUGCACCGAGUUCCUGCAAACAGUGCAACUGCUAAUGUAUCAAUUUCAGCUAGUCUUAUUUUCCCUUUAUCUGUUGUGUACAUAAUAUAAUCUAAUCACCUAUGCUUGGAAAGUAUAAAGCAGGUGGGAUUUUCCUGAUUGAAAUUCCAUUGAUGAAAUAAGGAUUACUUCUUUUACUGCAAGACCUUUCCUGAAUACCACGUGGGUACAUUAAACAUUGUAAAAU